ensembl:snRNA U6 U6 spliceosomal RNA
GUGCUCGCUUCGGCAGCACAUACACUAAAAUGGGAACGAUACAGUGAAGAUUAGCAUAGCCCCUGCACAAGGAUGACAACGCAUAUUCGUGAAGCGUUCCGUAUUUUU